GAUGGGUGAUGCAAUCCAUGAAUAAUUAACUCCCUGAGGGGGGCCAACUGCUGCGUUUGGAGUAUUGACUUUCUCUUUAAAAUUUCAGCCGUCGUAUUUUUUUUUUCCCCCCCAAGGGCACUGACUCUCCGAUUCUCCUCCUCUUCCGUCCUCAAUAUUUCUGUCGUCGUUUUCACAGGUGGAAUAUCUUCUAACAUCUUCAAGGAGUGCACGUGUGAGACAAAUUGCAGAGGAUGAGAUUGAAGCCCAGGAAGGUGCAGUCACUUGUCCAAGCUCCCACAGCGCAUGCAAAGCAGAAUGAGAAACGGAAACAAGAUCUGUGAAACUGAGCCCACUGAGGAUUGCAUUGUUACUCCCAUUUUUACGAACGAGGUGACUGAGGCCUGGAAAAGAAUCACCCCAGGUCUGAAGACUCCUAGGACUCACCUGAGAGAACUGGCCGUACCCUCCUGAUGCUCCCACUCAGCAUAUUUCUGUUGUUCUACCUGUGACACUGGACUGUGAGUUCCGUGAAGACAGGGACUGUGGUUCUGCCUCCAAAUCUUCAACCUUUAGUAAGUGUUUGAUAAAUGAAUGAAUGGAUGCAUUCAUCACAUCCCAUUGUAGUUAAUCUGCCUAUACUGUAUGUCAUGAGCCCCUUGAAGGCAGGGAUUUCUUCCUCUCAUCUAUUCUAUAUUCUCUUAGUUCAUUUUUCUUUCUCUAGCAAUGGUAUUUGCACUAAGUUGGAGGCAAUGUUUGUUAGAUGAGUGGGUCAAGACUCAGAAAACUCAUCUGUCUCCAUUUGGGUUAUUUUUUAAUCUUAAGCAAAGUAAAGUGACACAAUUACGAGUCUAGGGUGGAGUCGAAAGAACACCUUACAAGAAGCCCUAAGCUCUGGAUUCUGGACCUAGAGUCUUUAUGAUGACCUUGACCAGUCACUUACUCAGUUUGAAUCUGUUUUCUGGGAAUGAUUUGUCAGCUAGAGUAAUAAUAUCCAACACACAAAGUGGUUCUGAAGACCAAACAAGACAGUAUACAUAAAAUGCCUGGCUCAACCAAUGUUAAUUUCCUCUCACUUGGUUAGUGUCAUAACAUGGCUUAGAUUUGGUUAGUUCCUUAAAAGCAAAAUUCUGUAGGUCUUUGAGCAUUAUAGACACUCUAAUUAUGUCCCUCGUCAGCUAGAUGUCAUAUGGUGCCCUUGAAACCUGACACUGGACUUUGCCAGGAAGAUAUUAGCCUACUCCCAACUUAUACUAUUUUGAGAUUUGAUGGCUUUGGAAAGAAGAUAACAGCUGACUUUUAUGCAGAUAGAGGAUGGCUGUGCUUUGGAAGAAAGUGCCAAAACCUCAACUAACGCCACUUGGAAAGAAUUCAGCAAGCUCUGAAGUUGGGCAUUCAAAGGCUAUUAUUUCCAUGCCAACAUAAGAGUUUAUUCAGGAAGUUGCAAAAAAAUUUCAAAUCUCAUAACAGUGAACUCCAAGGGAACUGGAAAAUUCUCUAACUCUGCUGCUUAUACAUGUUCAACAGUCAGGAAGAUGGGAA